CCUACGGGAGGCAGCAGUGGGGAAUAUUGCGCAAUGGGCGAAAGCCUGACGCAGCGACGCCGCGUGAGGGAUGAAGGUCUUCGGAUCGUAAACCUCUGUCAGCAGGGAAGAACGGUCACUGUGCUAAUCAGCAGUGAAUUGACGGUACCUGCAAAGGAAGCACCGGCUAACUCCGUGCCAGCAGCCGCGGUAAUACGGAGGGUGCGAGCGUUAAUCGGAAUUACUGGGCGUAAAGCGCUCGUAGGCGGUAUGUCAAGUCUAGGGUGAAAUCCCCGGGCGCAACGCAGGAGCUUCCGUUGAAACUGGGGAACUGGAGUGUGGGAGGGGGAUGCGGAAGUCGUGGUGUAGCGGUGAAA
rnacentral:rRNA from 1 species